rnacentral:rRNA from 1 species
GAGUUUGAUCCUGGCUCAGGACGAACGCUGGCGGCGUGCCUAAUACAUGCAAGUUGAACGAUGAUUUCUGGUACUUGUAUCAGAAUGAAGAGUAGCGAACGGGUGAGUAACGCGUGGGUAACCUACCUCUUAGCGGGGGACAACUAUUGGAAACGAUAGCUAAUACCGUAUAACAAUAUUAAACACAUGUUUAAUAUUUGAAAGUACCAAUUGGUACACUAGGAGAUGGACCCGCGUUGUAUUAGCUAGUUGGUAGUGUAAUGGACUACCAAGGCGAUGAUACAUAGCCGACCUGAGAGGGUGAUCAGCCACAUUGGGACUGAGACACGGCCCAAACUCCUACGGGAGGCAGCAGUAGGGAAUCUUCGGCAAUGGACGAAAGUCUGACCGAGCAACGCCGCGUGAGUGAAGAAGGUUUUCGGAUCGUAAAACUCUGUUGUUAGAGAAGAACGUUGUGUAGAGUGGAAAAUUACACAAGUGACGGUAUCUAACCAGAAAGGGACGGCUAACUACGUGCCAGCAGCCGCGGUAAUACGUAGGUCCCGAGCGUUGUCCGGAUUUAUUGGGCGUAAAGCGAGCGCAGGUGGUUUAAUAAGUCUGAUGUAAAAGGCAGUGGCUCAACCAUUGUGUGCAUUGGAAACUGUUAGACUUGAGUGCAGUAGAGGAGAGUGGAAUUCCAUGUGUAGCGGUGAAAUGCGUAGAUAUAUGGAGGAACACCGGUGGCGAAAGCGGCUCUCUGGACUGUAACUGACGCUGAGGCUCGAAAGCGUGGGUAGCAAACAGGAUUAGAUACCCUGGUAGUCCACGCCGUAAACGAUGAGUGCUAGUUGUUUGGGGCUAUCCAGCCCUAAGUGACGCAGCAACGCAUUAAGCACUCCGCCUG